AAAAAAAUCAACAGCGACAGGAAUUUGCUUUCUAAGAUAUUCGUUCUGGAUCCGAAAUUGAGACCCUGAGAUUUUGCAGUGUCGAGUUUCGGGAAAAAGAACCAAACUAGCAAUGGCGGCGUUUAUCAAGCUCGAAGAUUCUCCUAUGUUUCAAAAACAGGUAUGUUCUCUAGAGUCCAUGGCUGAUGAAUUGAAAGGUCGCUGUCAAAUGCUGACCCAAGGAAGUAUAACGUAUAGGAACAACAGCUCUUGGCUCUUGGAGAAGCAUAUAAUGCAGACAAUUGCUUUGCUGAUUCUUUAGAAGCAUUUGGUUGCGGACAAGAUGAUCCUAUUAGUGUGUCCAUAGGAGGGCCAGUUAUGUCCAAGUUCAUCAAUGCCUUUCGUGAGCUUGCUAGCUAUAAGGAGUUGCUUUGUUCACAAGUGGAGCAUGUUUUAAUUGAUCGGCUAAUGCACUUUACAACUGUUGAUUUGCAAGAUGCAAAGGUGAAGAUAAUUCA